CAUGUGAACAUACACAUGUACUGAGCAGAUCACACAAAAGAACUACUACUCACAUUCUCAUAGAGAGCUUGAAGGGUCUCCAGGUCAACCACGGAAUUGUCCAAGUUCACAACAGCUGUGGGUGGGAAAAAAGGCAAAGAAAAGAAUGUAAAUUACAAUAAGACAGCUAUGAAAUAAUGUUUAGCCAGGUCAGGCAAUGUGUUCAUGACCAGAAGUUGGAGUGCACAUGAACUUGAACUUCAGUGUGGAUGCUUGCCCUGCUCCAAAGACCAUGUCCUAGGAAUUUCAAUGGCUCAGCUUAAAGUACACAUUUACUAGUUGAUACUGGCAAAAGUCCCAAGAAAGAAUUAAGAAAGAAAAGUGGAAAUUGAAGUACAGGAUGGAUGAGAAAUCUAACCAAGGUCAUGGUACUUCAUCCCAGCAACACUAUGCCUGACUAAGACAAAAACUCAGUGAAGCAUAGAUGCCUCGAAAGACUGCAUGUUUCCAAGCAGCUCAAUCACAAAAGAAUCAAGAAUUAUAUGUGACAUUCCUUUAUGAGAGAAUACCUGUGAGCUAAUCCCCCAAUGAAAAUAUUCGCACCUGGAGGGCUCAUAAAGAAAAAAAAAGAAAAGAACUGUCAAAAUGUGUUUGAUAAGAAAAAUCACAUAAAGAUGCAGUCAAGCACUUUUAAAAAUGUGGCUUUGUUUUGCUCAGCUAGGCCAAAAAAUCCUGCUAAUGCCUUAAGGAAGAUACGGUUUACCAAAGGGCAGUUUGCUACUGCAUUCAUCUAAACAUUUCACCCUUGAGAGAUGGGAAUUACACAGCCCUCUUCAAGUUGCCCAUCACUACACAUGCUCCAGCAUCUGGACAUGUUGGGCCAUCAAGCACCAAGAAGAAUGUGGGUAUAUCCACACUCAGACAAUCCGUUUGUUUUGUGGUAAAUGUGACAGGGUUAGCACUAUUUACAGUUUUUGCCAUAGCUCAGAAGAGAAAAAUGAAUCCAAUUCUGUCCACCUCUCCAAA